rnacentral:tRNA from 1 species
GCUAGCUUGGCAGAGUAGUGUGUUAAAUUUAGGAUUUAAAUAGAUAGUUGAUUUUUCUUUAAUUAGUG